AAAAAGGGCGAAGAGUGGAUGCCUCGACUCAAAGUUCCGAUGAAGGACGUGGCUAGCUGCGAUAAGCCUCGGCGAGCUGUUAAGCAAGCAUUGACCCGGGGAUUUCCGAAUAGGGCAACCUAAUCCGAGUUAUGUCGGAUUACCUGGUACCUUUUUUGUUUCUGAAUACAUAAAGCACGUAGAUGCUUUGCGAUUUUUGUCAGUGACAAAGAAGGUGCCAGGAGGACACACAGAGAACUGAAACAUCUUAGUACCUGUGGAAAAGAAAUCAUAUGAGAUUCCCUUAGUAGUGGCGAGCGAACGGGGAACAGCCUAAACCACUGCGGCGUGAUAGGUGCCAGCCGUUUCCGUGGUGGUGUUGCAAGGCCUAUUUUCUAGUAUCUGGCGAUGCUGGUAAUCGGUUCCAUUGUUAGUCAAAGGUCCCUGGAAAGGGCCGCCAUAGAGGGUAAUAGCCCCGUCGGCGAAAACAAUGGCUUCGGUUAAAUAGGUUCUUAAGUAGGGUCGGACACGUGAAAUCCGGCCUGAACCUGGGUGGACCACCAUCCAAGGCUAAACAGACUUUGAGAUCUAUAGUGAACAAGUACCGUGAGGGAAAGGUGAAAAGCACCCCAGAAAGGGGGAUGAAAUAGUUUCUGAAACUCUUUGCUUAAAAGGAGUAGGAGCCUCGCUUCGGCGGGGUGACUGCGUACUUUUUGUAGAACGGGCCAACGAGUUAGCUGUAUGGGGCUUGGUUAAGGGAGAUUCACCCGAAGCCAUAGCGAAAGCGAGUCUUAACUGGCGCAUUUGUCUCAUACACUAGACCCGAAACCAGGUGAGCUACCCAUGGACAGGCUGAAGUCCGCUUAACAGCGGAUGGAGGGCCGAACCCAACUAUGUUGCAAGAUAGUGGGAUGAGCUGUGGGUAGUGGAGAAAUUCCUAUCGAACCUGGAGAUAGCUGGUUCUCCUCGAAAUAGCUUUAGGGCUAGCCUUGUGCGUUAAGCAGUGGGGGUAGAGCGCUGUUUCGGCUAGGGGGCGAAAUAAGUCUACCAAACCGAGAUAAACUUCGAAUACCACUGUGUACUUCACAGGAGUCAGUCCGUGACAGCUAAGUGCCACGGACAAAAGGGAAACAGCCCAGACCGUCGUCUAAGGUCCCUAAUAGAGAUUAAGUGUUAAAGGAUGUUAGAUCCCGUAGACAACCAGGAGGUUGGCUUAGAAGCAGCCACCCUUUAAAGAGUGCGUAAUAGCUCACUGGUCUACGCCCACCGUAAGGUGGGGGGAUUUAGCGCCGAAAAUCCAACGGGGCUCAAAUCUCUAACCGAAGACACGGACUUUCCCCGCCUCGGCGGGGGGAGUGGUAGAGGAGCGUUCCAUUCAGCGAUGAAGUCGCAUCGUAAGGUGCGGUGGAGUGGAUGGAAGUGCAAAUGUUGGCAUAAGUAACGUAAACCAAGUGAAAAACUUGGUCACCGUAAACCCAAGGUUUCCCAAGCCACGUUAAUCGACUUGGGGUUAGUCGGUCCUAAGGUGAACCCGAAAGGGGUAGUCGAUGGACAACAGGUUAAUAUUCCUGUACAACGGGCAUUUCGUCCAAGCAAAACUGGCAGUGCCUGCUCGCAAAUGUAAUCUCUUCGGAGGUUUCAAAUGUGUUCAGGUUAACUAAAGGCGGCGCUAGCUUAGGGGGGACGCCGUUGGAUAAAGAGAGCGUAUUAAUGAAUUUACGUCCAAGCUUUAAGUAUCGUGCCUCUUAUGUAAAUCAGGGAGGUCCUCUUUACUUCGGUAAAGAGAAUACGAGAAGUGAUGGAAAGCCCCGCUUUGCGGGGUGAUUCUCUUGAUUUCAGCGGACUAGAAAAUCCUCGAAGCGAGAAAUGCACGUUACCGUACCGCAAACCAACACUGGUGGGUGGGUAGAGUAUACUAAGGUGAUCGGGAUAACCCUCGUUAAGGAACUCGGCAAAACAGCGGCCGUAACUUCGGAAUAAGGCCUGACAGCAUUUUUUUAUUUUAUAAGAAAGUGCUGCCCGCAGCGAAAGAUCCCAUGCAACUGUUUACCAAAAACACAGGUCUCUGCAAACUCGUAAGAGGAUGUAUAGGGGCUGACGCCUGCCCAGUGCCAGAAGGUCACGUGGAGGGGUUAGGACUUCGGUCCAAAGCUCUGAAAUUAAGCCCUGGUGAACGGCGGCCGUAACUAUAACGGUCCUAAGGUAGCGAAAUUCCUUGUCUGGUAAGUUCAGACCCGCACGAAUGGCGUAAUGAUAUGGGAACUGUCUCAACGAGGGACCCGGUGAAAUUGUAGUAUCGGUAAAAAUACCGAUUAACCGCAGCA
rnacentral:rRNA from 1 species